UACGUAGGGUGCAAGCGUUGUCCGGAAUUAUUGGGCGUAAAGAGCUCGUAGGCGGUUUGUUGCGUCGGCUGUGAAAUCCCGAGGCUCAACCUCGGGUCUGCAGUCGAUACGAGCAAACUAGAGUGUUGCAGGGGAGACUGGAAUUCCUGGUGUAGCGGUGAAAUGCGCAGAUAUCGAGAGGAACACCUGAGGUGAAGACGGGUUGCUGGGCCGACACUGACGCUGAGUGCGCGAAAGCCAGGGGAGCAAACGGG
rnacentral:rRNA from 1 species